rnacentral:lncRNA from 1 species
UAAAAACGGUCGAGUAAUGAGUGAAUAAGGAUGAUUUGAAGUUGCAUGUCGAAUGUUGUAUUUGCUUAUUUUUUCUGUUUUGGUUUAAGUUACUGAAAAUAAAUGAUAGGAUAUUGAUGAGCAUUAAGGGGUGAAUGUUUUGAUAUAUGUGUUUUUGAUUUUGGUUGCAAAUUAUUUUUUCUGCUAAAAAUUACAAGCAGAACAUGUGGUAUGAGAAUACUGUAUGUUGCUGCUACCUUUGUUUUUUUCUUUUUUUCCUUUCUUUUCUUUUUCCUUGCCGCGCCGUACAUCCUAGGGGCACUUGCUGGCUGUGCAUUGUGUUUCUAAAUGAAACACA